rfam:Tupaia chinensis contig160706, whole genome shotgun sequence.
GCUGAUGAAGACUUCGGCAGCGCAUAUGCUAAAAUUGAAACGACACCGAGAAGGUUAGCUUGGCCCCUGAGCAAGGAUGACACGCGCAUGUGCGAAGCACUUCGUAUUUAA